AUGAUCACCGUCCAUAGCCUAAAUAAAAGGUUGCUGUCUCUUUCCAAUAUGACUACAUGCAAGUUCCUCACCGCCAGCAACUUUCGAAUCAGCAUGUCCGAGGCCUUCUCCGAGAUGUUUCCUACAAACACUGUGGUGGUGGGGCCGUUGUUCUCGUCCAGGGGAGCUUCCUUCCUGGGGGCCGCGGGCUUACUGACAACGGGCAUGGAGGUGGGUACCAGGACUGUGGGGUUCUGGGUCAUGAUGCCCAUGUGGAAAACCAGAGAACUGUGGAGGCGGGAUUCCCGGUGGCAACAGGGGUCGGUUGAGAUGAGGGAACGACAUCUUGUGGAAAUCACCCACAUAAAACAUUGGACCAAAGUAUACAGUCAGAACGGUCAUAAGAGAGCAGUGGACACAACAGUAAACAACUCUCCAGUCCAAACAGGAUGACUGGAAUAGCGAGUGAUUUCAGGCCUAAAUAAAAGCCUAAUGAAGUUACUGAUACCUAGUCUUCCUAGCACCAUAAGAUACCGUCAUGAAUUAACAUGGAUUGUCAACGGAGACACGUUUUUUCCCCCUACGGCAUUGAACUGUCAACGCAUUCACGUCACGCAGACAGUGUUUAUGUAUACAUCACACGUCAGUUUAUUAUGAAAUAUCUCACCAUGAACACCAACAUGUAUACGAAGCUUUUUAAAUAUUUUUUUUAAAUUCGAAGAGUAAUCUAAUCAAUUGAAUUUGUCAAUUUAGCUAAAAUAGGCCUAUCACCCCUUUAAAAAUAUAGAUUAGGCUGGACGGUUUGCAGCCUGCAACCAUUACUGUGUAGAUACUGUAUAGGACUCUUUCUGAAAUCAACAUGGACACGAGGUGUAUUGGAGCUCUAUUCAGGUUCACAGAUGUAAUCACUGUCACCAUGCUCCUUUGGCUAAAUGCUAUCAAUUUCUGUGGGGGGUUUGAUGUGUUACGGUUAAAACCAUGGCUUGAAUUGGGGGGGGGUAUGUGAGAAUGUAACAAUUGUUAUAGAGAAGGGCAAAAAAAACACAUAGGCUACCCCUUGCUCACUUAUACACCGAGUAUACAAAACAUUAAGGUCCUCUGCCCAUGACAGACUGACCAGGUGAAUCCAGGUGAAAGUUAUGAUCCCUUAUUGAUGUCACUUGUUAGAUCAGUGAAGAUGAAGGGGAGGCGAUGGCUUAAAAAUCUCUCUUUCAUCUUUGAGACAUGGAUUGUGUAUGCGUGCCAUUCAGAGGGUGAACGGGCAAGACAAAAUAUUGAAGUGCCUUUGAACGGGGUAUUGUAGUAGGUACACCGCUUUGUGUCAAGAACUGCAACGCUGCUGGGUUUUUCACGCUCAACAGUUUCCCGUGUGUAUCAAGAAUGGUUCACCACCGAAAGGACAUCCAGCCAACUUGACACAACUGUGGGAAGCAUUGGAGUCAACGUGGGCCAGCAUCCCUGUGGAACACUUGACACCUCAUGGAGUCCAUGCCCUGACAAUUUGAGGCUGUUCUGAGGACAAAAAGGGGAGGGUGCAACUCAAUAUUAGGAAGGUGUAUAUAAAGCCAUCUAGGCUAUAACAAUGAUUAACUUUGCAAUGCUUUCUGCAGUCACUAACCAAUUGACUGUCUUGCUCAACAUGAGUUCACGCCACGAUAGACCUAUAAAGCAAGUGUCAUUAUUCCACGGAAAAUAUGGUUGUUUUAAAUGCCCCGGAAUUGAGAAGAUUAGUGGUCGCCUAUGCCUAUAACAAAAUACCAAAAAGAUAGAAGCAGUAUGGGUCUAUCCAUAGACAAAACAUCUUAACAGAUGAACAUUCUUUUUACUUUCAGGAUGGGGGAAAUGCAAUCUAUCUGGCUAUUAAUUUCAGUGCAGUUGCUUUCUUACGCAUAACCUAUAGGCUAAACGGAACCGAAAAUAUCCCCGCCUAUUGUGAUCACGUAAUGACAAAUCCUGAACAUUUUGGCUUUAUUGAUCCUUGAUUAAGCCUACAGAGUUGAUACACAAUGAAGGCCUAGAUUGAUCCUUGAUUAAGCCUACAGAUUUGAUACACACGAAGGCCUAGAUUUAUCCUUGAUUAAGCCUACAGAUUUGAUACACAAUAUCUUGAGAUAAACUACAACUCCCUACUACUGAUUUAACAGGCCAAUACUCAGUUAUUGCAGAAAACGUGGUAAUCAACUACAAUGACCAUAAUCCAUUGCGUGCCUACUUGUCCAGUCUGUUUCUUUUACGCCUGUUAUGCUAGGUUAGUGUGGGGCAGACACAGAGGAGAGAGAUAGAAGUUGCUUGUCAAGGCAUCACUACCUGAAAAUACAUAAUCUAAGUGACUGAUAGUUUUGACUGCUGAAUGCCAACUAUGCCUUAUUGACUUAUAACUACUAAUGAUUGUCAGACAGCAGCUCUAUAGAGAUGAGAUGGCUUGGAAUUAAAUAAUAAAGUCAUCAAAUAAAACUAAUGUAAUAUGCACAACUGAAAUAUUUUAUUAAAGUAACGUUAAUGUUAAUAAAUUGUAGUUAAGUGAACCAGUAAGGGACAGUCAUUGAACUUUAAUUGUUUUAUUAUGUGUUGCUACAGCAUUCAACCCACGUAAUGUAGUGCAUUUAAUGUUUAAUGAUUUUUUUUAAACCAGUGAAUAUUGUUUUAUAAUCGAACCGAACUCAAAAAGCACUAAUCGCUAAGCACUAUUGGCUGUAUAAUGUCAGCUGACAACUAUUCAUAUCUAAAAUUCCAACCGUGUCGUGUGUGUGUGUGGUUGAAAAGCCAGGCCUGGUACUAGCCAUCUGGCUAACUACAUAUGAAAGACAAAACACCUUCACGUUGGCAUUGGUUAUAUUGUCGUUAGGGUCAGCUAUAGCCAACCUACCCUAAUUAUUCUCGCUAGCUAGGCAAGUAAUAUUAGAGGGUUUUGCCCUCCACAACAGAACAAGUCUGACAAGGUUAGCUGCGGCUGUUGUAGUUAGCGGAUACGCUGGCUAACUACCGGGAAACCAUUCGCAAUGUUUGAGUUAGGUAGCUAGCUAGCUACCUACCGUUGAUAAAACUCAGACAAUAUGGUGAAAAAGUAACUACUGAAUCAGAUUUUACGUACCCCAACACGUCGGUUUAUCGAUUAUUGAGGGCGACUCUUCACUUCUGUGUAGCUACCUCCGGUCAGAUGCAUCGAGGUAUGGCUAGCUAACUGCGAUACAGAAAAAUCCGCAAAAAGGCAGCUCACGCAGCAGAGUCACUAGUUACCACAGCCACAAAGUAUUAAACCCCGCCCAUUUUUACAAUGCAUCUUCUUAUUCGGUGGAGUUUAUCGGAGAUUGGUGUUCAACGUUAUGGAGUUUUUAUUUUAUUUUUAUUUUUACAAUGUAUCUUCUUAAAAUGUGAUUUUAGACCUAACCUUAACCACAUUGUUAACCUUAAAUUAAGACCAAAAAGCAAACGUUUGUUUCCAACUUUGUGGCUGUGCUAUCUAGUGGAAACAACAACAGAGAUGUACAUUUUUAGCAAAGGAAUAUUAGAUUUGUCGAUUCGGAAGCCAUGUUUUCAACGUCCUGUUCACAGAUAUUUCACCGGAUGAAUACAUUUGAAGAACCCUCUUGGCGUUUCCACUCACAAGCAAAUGUGGUAGCGAGAGGAAGCCCAGUGGCCGGCAUUGGGAUAAAAUUGAGCGAGAUUAAUUUUGGCCGACAUUCGGACAAUUUUCUCAUCGAUGAGAAACCAUUUGAUCUCAAAACAUUUGAUCUCAAUACAGUUUUCUGUUCUCAAAACUAUAAUGUGUUAUGAACAGAGUGAACUAGGUUUUGUAGACUUUGCCCUUUGCUCAACGUUUUUUUUUUUUUAUCGCGUUGUUUAGGAGUGCAAAGGCGAAUUUAGUUAUUGCACGUCAUGCUUAAUUUGUUUACGGACAAGUGUUGGAGUAACUACUGGAUGAGAAAUGGUUUAUGAGUCUUAAUGACGGCUGGGGAACCAGGAUUGACCCAGUAACUGGAAAUGAAUCUGCUCUGGAUUUGACUUUGAUCUCAAAUUCAAUGGCAGGUAGAUGUAGUUGGGAGGUUUUGGAAGAAUCUACAGUGGGUAGUGAUCACGAUCCUAUCAUGGGGGAGGAAUAAUCAGUAGGAGUUGAGUGAACAGGAGCUGUCUCAGGUAGAUCUUAAUUUAGAUAUAGAAACAGUAAAUAAUGGAAUAAUAGGAGCAAUAGUAGGGACCUCAAGGCAGGUGAUUCCUAUGGGUACAUGGGGGAGAAAGAGUAACGCAGUCCCCUGGUGGAGUGAAGGGUGUAGAGAAGCAGUGAAGACUAGAAACAGCGCUUUCAGAAUGUUGAUAAGGUCCCAUAAUUACCAGCACCUGAUUUAGUAUAAACAAGCACAAGCAGUAGUAAGGAGGAUCAUUAGGACAGCUAGGAGGAGUAUUGGCACUGGUUCUGUGGAAACAUAGGCAGGACCAUUCCUGUGGGAGAGGUAUGGGGGAUGAUUAAAAGGAUGAGUGGGGAAAGAAGAGAUUGGGAUCUCCCUGUGCUGAAAAGUGGGGGGAUUGUUGCAGUGAGAGAUGUGGAGAAGGCAGAGAUGUCAGCCCAGGUAUUUGUGAAGGUGCACAGCUCUAAUAAUCUGACAGAAGAGGGGCAGCUUGGGGGAGAGAGAGGGUCAGAGGAGAACAUCCAGGGUUUCUGGAUCAAAAAGAGAUGGUGGGGAAGAGAGAGGGUCAGAGGAGAACAUCCGGGGUUGUUGGAUCAGAAAGAGAUGGUGGGGGAGAGAGAGGGUCAGAGGAGAACAUCCGGGGUUGUUG
rnacentral:lncRNA from 13 species